rnacentral:rRNA from 1 species
AAUUUAAGCGUAUGGGGGAUGCCUUGACUGAAGUAAGCUAAGAAGGACGUGGCAGUCUGCGAUAAGCUUCGGGGAGCUGGCAAGCGAGCUUUGAUCCGGAGAUUUCCGAAUGCGGCAACGCAAUAGGGCAAAACCCUAUUAACCUGUCAAUUUGACGGGUGGCGCACCCUGGGAAUUGAAACAUCUUAGUACCGGGAGGAAAAGAAAAUAACAUAUUAUUCCGUUAGUAGUGGCGAGCGAAAGCGGAAAAGCCUAAACCGAUACCUAGCAUCGGGAUUUCGAAUUUCAGAUUCUGAAUUUUGAAUGAAUUUUCAAUGGUUUAAUUUUAAAAACUAAUUCAUUGAAGUUUGUUUGGAAAUUGGAAAUUGAGACUUGGAAGUUCCGCUGCUAGGUAGCGGUGUUGCGAGAUAAUUAUUCCUAUUUAAUUAGGGUAGAGUGAAAAAUUCCAAUACUAGCCGAAUACUUUUGGAAAGUUGAACCACAGAGGGUAAUAGUCCCGUAGGCGAAAGUGGCGGAACUCUAUAGUAAUUAUUCUCAAGUAGGGCGGGACAGGAGAAAUCCCGUCUGAAUCUGGGAGCACUACUCUCCCAAGGCUAAAUAUUACUUCAGAUCGAUAGCGAACUAGUACCGUGAGGGAAAGGUGAAAAGUACCCCGAAAGGGGGGUUAAAAGACCUGAAACCAUACGCAGACAAAGAGUCAGAGCCCUGUAGCUCUCCGAGCAACGGGGUGAUGGCGUGCUUUUUGUAGAACGAGCCAACGAGUCAGAUUUACACGGCUUGCUUAACCCGAGAAGUUGCGGGGGAGGCAUAGUGAAAGCGAGGCUUAAUUGCCGUUAUUGUCGUGUGAACUGGACCCGAAGCCGGGCGAGCUAUGCAUGAGCAGGGUGAAUCUCAAGUAAAAUUGGGAGGAGGCCCGAACCCAUUGGUCGUGCGACUCCAUGGGAUGACUUGUGCAUAGAGGAGAAAUUCCAAUCGAGCUCGGCGAUAGCUGGUUCUCUCCGAAAUAGCUCUAGGGCUAGCGUCGGGAAACUAUUAACGGGAGGUAGAGCGACUGAAAAAGAAAUCGUGGUUUCGGCCUAGGUUUCUUUACCAAACUCCGAAUGCCCGUUAAACUAUCUCGGCAGUCAGUACUACGGGGCUAAGCUCGUAGCACAAAAGGGAAACAGCCCAAAUCGCAGUCUAAGGUCCCUAAUUUAUACUAAGUGGGAAAGGUAGUGAAAUUACUUAAACAGCUAGGAGGUUGGCUUAGAAGCAGCCAUCCUUUAAAGAGUGCGUAACAGCUCACUAGUCAAGUGAUUUUGCAUCUAAAAUGUAACGGGGCUAAGUAUAAUACCGAAGACGCGGGUCGAUACCUAGCAUCGGGAUUUCGAAUUUCAGAUUCUGAAUUUUGAAUGAAUUUUCAAUGGUUUAAUUUUAAAAACUAAUUCAUUGAAGUUUGUUUGGAAAUUGGAAAUUGAGACUUGGAAGUUCCGCUGCUAGGUAGCGGCGGUAGGAGAGCGUUCCUGGUGUGUUGAAGCUGUAUCGCGAGGUAUGGUGGAACGCCAGGAAGUGAGAAUGUUGGCAUGAGUAGCCGCAAUUCUGAUGAAAUCUCAGAACGUCGAAAGUCUAAGGUUUCCUCCGCUAUGGCAAUCAUCGGAGGGUUAGGCGGUCCUAAGGUGAGUCCCGGCUUCGGUCGGGGGUAAUCGAUGGAUAGACGGUUAAUAUUCCGUCCCUGCUAUGUUAUUCGAUGGAGCGACACAUUCUAGUAGUUCUUGCCGGUUAUUGGAUUCCGGUAAGUUUAUUGAGGUGGUCAGAUAGGUAAAUCCGUUUGACAAUACACCAAGAUGAAUUUCGAACCUCAACCUUGUGUUUGGGGGAAGAAGAGUGAGCAGGAUGUCGGGAAAAACUUCUAAGGUCAAUGGCGUAGUAUCCGUACUAAAACCGACACAGGUAGACUGGGCGAGAAGCCUAAGACGAAUGAGAUAACCCUCGUUAAGGAACUCGGCAAAUUAGCGUCCGUAAGUUAGCGAUAAGGACUGCCUUGAUUUUAAAUCGAGGCCGCAGCUAAAGAUCCCUGGCGACUGUUUACCAAAAACACAGCUCUCUGCAAACCCGUAAGGGGAAGUAUAGGGGGUGACGCCUGACCAGUGCUGGAACGUUAACGGGAAAGGUGCAAGCCAAUCUCCGAAGCGCCAGUGAACGUCAGCGAUAACUAUAAUCGUUCUAAGGUAGCGAAACUCCUUGUCAGGUAAAUUCUGACCCGCAUCAAAGGCGUAACGACUUGGGAACUGUCUCAACGAGGGGCUCAGUGAAAUUGCAGUGGGGGUGAAGAUGCCCCCUUCCUACAGCAAGACGAAAAGACCCCGUGGAGCUUUACUACAACUUGGCAUUGCGUUUGAGAUUAUGCUGCCGAGCAUAGGUGGGAGACUCUGAAGUUUCGAUUCCGGUCGAAAUGGAGUCAACAGUGGAAUACCACCCUGUGUGAUUUUGAGCGCUAACCCUGGUCUGUUAUUUGAAUCUUUUUUUAGGUUUUUAAACAGAAAAGAUGGUUAGGAUGAUUCAAGUUAGUUAAAAAAGUUAGUUUCACUAAUCAAUCUUUUCUGUAUGAUCUCUAAUACUUAGGGUUCAAAUACCAGACCGGGAACAGUGCCUGGUGGGUAGUUUGACUGGGGCGGUCGCCUCCUAAACAGUAACAGAGGCGUUCACAAAGGUCGGCUAUCCCGCGAUGGAAAUGCGGGAGAUAGGGCAAAGCCAGAAGCCGGCUUUACUGCGAGACUUGUUAGUCAAGCAGUCGCGAAAGCGGGACUUAGUGAACCGACCGUCACAUGUAGAUGUGCGGAAGAUCAGCAGAUAAAAGUUACCCCGGGGAUAACAGGCUAAUAGCGCCCAAUAGUUCACAUAGACGGCGCUGUUUGGCACCUCGAUGUCGGCUCAUCUCAUCCUGGGGCUGGAGAAGGUCCCAAGGGUAUGGCUGUUCGCCAUUUAAAGAGGUACGCGAGCUGGGUUCAAACCGUCGUGAGACAGGUUGGUCUCUAUCUGCUGUAGGCGUUAGUGUUUGAGAAUGAUUCUUCCUUAGUACGAGAGGACCGGGAAGAGCAAACCUCUGGUCGACCAGCUGUUCCUGCCAAGGGCACUGCUGGGUAGCUAUGUUUGUCGAGGAUAACCGCUGAAAGCAUCUAAGCGGGAAGCCCACUUCAAGAUAAGACACUAUGACUUCCUGAUAGACUAUCAGGUUGAUAGGCUCUAGGUGUAAGUCCGGUAACGGAUUCAGCCGAGGAGUACUAAUAAGUCUUUAUGGC